AGAACGAACGCUGGCGGCAUGCCUAAUACAUGCAAGUCGAACGAACUCUUCGGAGUUAGUGGCGCACGGGUGCGUAACGCGUGGGAAUCUGCCCCUUGGUUCGGAAUAACAGUUGGAAACGACUGCUAAUACCGGAUGAUGACGAAAGUCCAAAGAUUUAUCGCCAAGGGAUGAGCCCGCGUAGGAUUAGCUAGUUGGUGAGGUAAAGGCUCACCAAGGCGACGAUCCUUAGCUGGUCUGAGAGGAUGAUCAGCCACACUGGGACUGAGACACGGCCCAGACCUCGACGGGNG
rnacentral:rRNA from 1 species